AUGCAAUCCAUCAUCAAGAAAUCGAAAAAAAAAGAAGAAGAAAAAAA
rnacentral:sRNA from 1 species